rnacentral:lncRNA from 1 species
CGAUGCGCCGAAGAAUCGGACGAAGCGUCGAGGGACCAAUGACAUGUCGGACAACUUGGUUAAUUGCUUAGGAUUAAUUGUCUCGAUCGAAGUUUUGUUUUGUUGUGCAGGAUUAACUACGAUAAGAGUAAGACAAGCAGCCAGGAGUUGCGCCGGAGUCAAGAUCAUGAUCACGUUGGGAGUUCGAGAGUUCGACGGAAGUUCGGACGGUCGUCGGAGGUUCAGAGAGAACAGAUCCGAGAAGUCCAGAAGCUUGCCAAGCGAAGCUCGUCGGAACUCGCCAAGUGGAUCGUCGCAAAGUCCAGGAGUAUGCCGGAUGUCCGCAGAAGGAUCACCGAAGGUUAUCGGUUGAUCGACGGAAGUUGGCCGGAAACUCGCCGGAAGAAGCGAUUGACGCAUCGGAGCAAAGCUGCAGAAGUUGUCUUAGAGAUAUUCGUAGUUAGCACGAUGAUUAAGCAUGAAAAUGGGAGGUGAUCCCAUUAGCUUAAUCUUGGGGCAAUUGGGCCCCUGAAAAGAUUCAAAGUGGGUCGAAUGGAGUGAACCAUUCGGACCCUGAUUGCACCAGGAGGUGCAACCGCCCCAGCCAGGAGGUGCAACCGCCUGGGCUGUGGGGUUGAGAGGUGCAACCGCCCCAGCCAGGAGGUGCAACCGCCAGGGUUGCAAGGCUGGGAGGUGCAACCGCCCCAGCCAGGAGGUGCAACCGCCAGGGUUGCAAGGCUGGGAGGUGCAACCGCUCCAGCCAAGAGGUUGCACCGCCAGAGCUCAAGUUCCGAGCUCUGCCAGGCGAUGCAACCACCGAGCUCAGUCUUCGAGCUCUGGCAGAGUGGUGCAUCAGCCUGAGCUCAGUCUCGAGCUUUGCCAGGUGAUGCAUUCACCAAGCUCAGUCUUCGAGCUCUGGCAGAAUGGUGCAUCAGCUUGAGCUCAGUUUGGAGCUCUGCCAAGUGAUGCAACCACCAAGCUCAGUCUUCGAGCUCUGCCAGGCGAUGCAACCAUCGAGCUCAGUCUUCGAGCUCUGGCAGAGAGAAGCAAUCGGCAGAGCUCAGUCUUCGAGCUCUGCCAGGCGGUGCCACCUCUCCAGUCGAGAGGUGCAACCGCCUGAUCCCAGAAUUCUGGGAUUUGAUCGAUUUGAUCGUUUUGAGCUCGAAUUUUGAAUUGGGUUGGGGCCUAUAAAUACCCCACCCAUUCAGCACUGAAAAGAUAACAGACCAAUACCGAAAUAUUGAUCUUUUCUGUGAUUCUAAGAGCUCAAAAGUGUUGUAAAGUCUUUAAGUCUCCUCCUUCUGUUCUUCAAGUUUUUGAUUGUAAAGUGAGGAGAGAAAGGUCUGUAAAGGUUGUCUCCUGAGCCUGUCAAAAGGAGAGAAACUGUAAAAGGGCAGUUAGCCUUCACCCAUUGAAGGAAGGCCCCUAGUUGACGUCGGCAACCUCGUCGGUGGAGGAAGCCAAAAGUGGAGUAGGUCAAGGCUGACCGAACCACUCUAAAUCUCUGGUUUGCGUUUAUUUUCGAGCACUUUAUCAUUACUGCAAACCUCCUUCAUUGCUACUGCUCUCUGCGCUUUCACGAACAAAUUCUAAGUGCUGUUCUUCCAAAUCUGCAUUCAGACGUAAAUUCGUAUUUUCGUACAUUACAGUUUACGUUUACGUUUGAUUCUGCAGAACUGUCUUCCGUGCUUUUACGAACGAGUUUCUUUGCAGUUUACGCUUACAUUUUAAUCCUAUUAAUAACUGCAAUCUGUCCUCUAUGAUCUUACGAACGAGUUUCAACAUUUAGACGCAAAACUGCAUUCAGACGUAAAUCGGCUUUUCUCGCUCAAUCGUCAGAUUUCAGUUCACGUUUACGUCUUGAUUUCAACUGCAUACUGCCUUCUGCGAGUAUACAAACAAGUUUCAAAGUUUAGACGUAAAUCUGCGUUUAGACGUAAAUCUGCGUUUAGACGUAAAACUACGUUUAGACGUAAAUCUGCGUUUAGACGUAAAACUGCGUUUAGACGUAAAACUGCGUUUAGACGUAAAACUGCGUUUAGACGUAAAUCUGCGUUUAGACGUAAAUCUGCGUUUAGACGUAAAUCUGCGUUUAGACGUAAAUCUGAGUUUAGACGCAAAACUGCACUUAGACGCAAAACUGCGCUUAGAUGCAAAACUGCGCUUAGAUGCAAAACUGCGCUUAGACGCAAAACUGCGCUUAAACGCAAUCUGCGCUUAGACGCAAACUGCACUUAGAUACAAACUGAGAAUUUGCUUUUGCAUCAUAAUAGUUUUUGAACGAACGCAGCUUUUGGUUCUUAAUCGCUGUAAGAUUUCCGCUGCACUAAUUCACCCCCCCCCCUCUUAGUGCUCUCGAUCCUA